rnacentral:rRNA from 1 species
GAUGAACGCUGGCGGCGUGCCUAAUACAUGCAAGUCGAGCGAACGGACGAGAAGCUUGCUUCUCUGAUGUUAGCGGCGGACGGGUGAGUAACACGUGGAUAACCCACCUAUAAGACUGGGAUAACUUCGGGAAACCGUAGCUAAUACCGGAUAAUAUUUUGAACCGCAUGGUUCAAAAGUGAAAUACGGUCUUGCUGCCACUUAUAGAUGGAUCCGCGCUGCAUUAGCUAGUUGGUAAGGUAACGGCUUACCAAGGCAACGAUGCAUAGCCGACCUGAGAGGGUGAUCGGCCACACUGGAACUGAGACACGGUCCAGACUCCUACGGGAGGCAGCAGUAGGGAAUCUUACGCAAUGGGCGAAAGCCUGACGAAGCAACGCCGCGUGAGUGAUGAAGGUCUUCGGAUCGUAAAACUCUGUUAUUAGGGAAGAACAUAUGUGUAAGUAACUGUGCACAUCUUGACGGUACCUAAUCAGAAAGCAACGGCUAACUACGUG